rnacentral:rRNA from 1 species
GAUGAACGCUGGCGGCGUGCCUAAUACAUGCAAGUAGAACGCUGAAGGAGGAGCUUGCUCUUUCCGGAUGAGUUGCGAACGGGUGAGUAACGCGUAGGUAACCUGCCUGGUAGCGGGGGAUAACUAUUGGAAACGAUAGCUAAUACCGCAUAACAGUAGAUAUUGCAUGAUAUUUGCUUGAAAGGGGCAAUUGCUCCACUACCAGAUGGACCUGCGUUGUAUUAGCUAGUUGGUGAGGUAACGGCUCACCAAGGCGACGAUACAUAGCCGACCUGAGAGGGUGAUCGGCCACACUGGGACUGAGACACGGCCCAGACUCCUACGGGAGGCAGCAGUAGGGAAUCUUCGGCAAUGGACGGAAGUCUGACCGAGCAACGCCGCGUGAGUGAAGAAGGGUUUCGGAUCGUAAAGCUCUGUUGUAAGAGAAGAACGAGUGUGAGAGUGGAAAGUUCACACUGUGACGGUAUCUUACCAGAAAGGGACGGCUAACUACGUG